rnacentral:lncRNA from 1 species
CCCCGCGGUCCCCGCAGCCCCGCUCCCUGCCGGGUGCCGCGGUCGAGCCUUGAGCACCUCCACAAGUCGCCGGGAAUGGCUCCUGUCACUGCUGCUGGAGGCCGCUGCAGCACCUCCGCCUGCCCGGCUUUGUGUUCAGCCGGGACUUGGGGCUCGGCCCCGGAGCCACCGCGCCUCAUUGCCUAACACAGCCUGACAUGCAAGCAGAGAGAGGACAUCAGCAUCCACCACCUUCACCCUGCAGCCCCCGGAAUGACCUUCAAACAACUGGGAGCAGCUCCCACCGGCCUUGGCCGCGGGCUCUCCAGGCUCACACCCUGCGUUCGACAGCACGACCAGGAGCGGAUCACAGAAACCCUGGGGAAGCCGAGGCCGGAUGGACGCAGUGAGAUCGUACACAGGGUGAGUGUGUCAGACACAGCUUCUGCUUCAAAUGAUGGACUGCACCAGCAGGAGGGAGGAGUAGUUAACAGUUACUAACACUAGAAUAAUCAAAUUUGUAUGUUAUACAUAUACAGCAACUAACUGCUUUACAAAAAAAGCAAAAUAAUACAAUAUAUUGUCACAUGUAUUUACAGUGUAGUAAAUAUACUUUUCUGUCAAAUUUUACACAAAAACUAUUUACAGGUGAAUAUACUGCAUAAAAAAAAAGGUGGGACCAACACUCUGAGUGACUGUCUGUGGUUUGUUGCAUAACAAUAGGACGUGCUUUGUGACUUCGGAAAAAAUUAACCUUAGAAUGAAACAGAAAAAGCCCUAAAACCUACAACCCGGGCCAGAGCCAGCCCCGGCACGCACCGGGGGCUCAGCCCACGAGACUCAGUGAAAUGUUCCCUGUCCUGGGAAACCUCAUGCACGGUAAAGCAGAAACAUCGGCAUCAUUACAGGUAGGUUAUGCACUAUUCAAAUACUACUGAGUUAUCUCUAAGUCAGGGAAAGUACAAACACAAACAGAAUGUUAAUUGUCUUUACAGUACUGAGCUGUGGUCAGUGUGGGGCAGGGAACGGGCUCUGAGCCAGGGGUCACACACGCUCCCCGGGAGGGUGUUACAUGGUCCACGUGUUCCAGUGGGAUU